GAUGAACGCUGGCGGCGUGCCUAAUACAUGCAAGUCGAGCGAACGGACGAGAAGCUUGCUUCUCUGAUGUUAGCGGCGGACGGGUGAGUAAUACGUGGAUAACCUACCUAUAAGACUUGGAUAACUUCGGGAAACCGGAGCUAAUACCGGAUGAUAUUUUGAACCGCAUGGUUCAAAAGUGAAAGACGGUCUUGCUGUCACUUAUAGAUGGAUCCGCGCUGCAUUAGAUAGUUGGUAAGGUAACGGCUUACCAAGGCAACGAUGCAUAGCCGACCUGAGAGGGUGAUCGGCCACACUGGAACUGAGACACGGUCCAGACUCCUACGGGAGGCAGCAGUAGGGUAUCUUCCGCAAUGGGCGAGAGCCUGACGGAGCAGCGCCGCGUGAGUGAUGAAGGUCUUCGGAUCGUAAAACUCUGUUAUUAGGGAAGAACAUAUGUGUAAGUAACUGUGCACAUCUUGACGGUACCUAAUCAGAAAGCCACGGCUAACUACGUG
rnacentral:rRNA from 1 species